rnacentral:rRNA from 1 species
UAACGACUCUCGGCAACGGAUAUCUCGGCUCUUGCAUCGAUGAAGAACGUAGCGAAAUGCGAUACUUGGUGUGAAUUGCAGAAUCCCGUGAACCAUCGAGUCUUUGAACGCAAGUUGCGCCCGAAGCCAUUAGGUCCAGGGCACGUCUGCCUGGGCGUCUCACA